rnacentral:tRNA from 1 species
GGUCAUGUGGCCUAGUGGUCAUGGCAUCUGCCCGGUAAGCGGAAGGUCGUGGGUUCGUUUCCCAUCCCUUGACACU